CUUUCAGUGAGAAGUCAGCUCUUUGAGGGCUGGAGUGGGUUUCAUACUGGGACAAGCCAACUGGGCCUUUCCUCAAGAUCAUUCCAAUUUGGUAUCCCCCCUGGCCUACCUCCCCCACCCCCAUCUUCUUCCAUGGGCUUCCCUGUGGAUACUGAGCAUGGAAUGCUGAUGAACCUUGCUUAAUUAUGAUGCAUACACAACCUAGCAGUGAGGAAAGUGGACUUUUGGCAAAUGGAAUAUGAAAGCUAGUAGAUCAACUACCUUUCUUCCUAGGAUUAACUUUUCUGUGAUGUUAUAAAGCUCCUCAGAGGAUGGUUCAGUCGUGUUGCCUGCAGCUGCAAAAGGCAAGGAAUGACAGGAAGGGAGGCACACUGGGCCAUAGAAACAAGGUGGAAUUUGGAGUCAGGGGACUUGAAUCCAAGGAUGGAGAUUCCUCAGCUGGACGAUCUUGAAUGGCACCAGAGACACAGGAUCAUGAGGGAGUGGGCCAAGAAGGGGCUGUGGAAAAGCUGGUGAUGCUCUUUACUUCUGACUUGAAAAUCCUCGCUGCUCUGGAUGAGGAGGAGCCACGUGGCAGAGGGGUCUUUCAGCGUACAUUUUUUUCAAGUCUCACCCAGUUGUGGGGCGAAGGUGGAAAAUGAAUUGAUUUACUAUGUUCAUGAUGAUAGUGAGGAGCUUCUUGACAAUUUCACCAUCUUUGCAAAUAGCUCAGAUCUUGGAAAACAGAGUUUGCCCCAAACUCUUUUUGUGGUUGUUGAAUCAGUGAACGAUGAGGCUCCAGUAAUAACAGUCAGUAAAAUCCUUCAGAAAAUGUAUGCCAACCCCUUCUGUAGACCAGCUCUAUGCAAUAGGACUUCCUGUGAUGAUGAAAAUGUUUUGUAUAUGUGCUGUUCAACACAGUAGCCACUACUCACAUGUGGCUAUGAAGUAUUUGAAAUGUGGCCAGUAUGAUUAAGUCCUUCUGUUGAAAAACAGAGGAUCAAGUUGAACCCUAACAGAUGACGAAACAAGCCCAGGGAGCAGUGGGGAGCCGAAGGAUAGUUUCCUAUGUGUCAGAGGUCUCUGUGUUGGGGCGGCACGUCGAACUGUUGUCCUCAGCUUUGAAGUCUCCCUGUGACUGCCCAGCACCAUAGCCCCUCCUGCCGGGUUAACCUGCCUGCCCAGACGCUGCCCAGCUGCUGUGUUCUCUCUGACAGGGAAGGAUUUGAGAUGGAAGGACAAGGACCACUCGCUCUCCUUACUUGUCAUCGGAGCUUGGACGAGGUGGCAAGAAGGGUCCUCUGCAGUCUAAUUGGGAGAAGGAAGUGGGAGUGUAAGAGGAAGAAUAGCCCUGAGCUAACAUCUGUGCCCAUCUUCCUCUGCUUUACAUGUGGGACGCCUACCACAGCAUGGCUUGUCAAUCCGUGCCAUGUCCACACCUGGGAUCCGAACCAGUGAACCCCAGGCCGCUGAAGUGGAACCUGCACACUUAACCGCUGCGCCACUGGUCCGGCCCAAGGAGAGAUCAUUUCCAUCUUGACAAACUGGAGUUAGGAAUUGGAGUUAGACCACUUCCAGUGAAUCCUUUGCAUUUUACUUUGAAAUAUGUUCUACUGAGUACUUUUGUGUUCGGGCAGACCAGUGAUUUUUGCGCAUACCUGAUAAAAUAUAUGUGUGUCCACAAGGGGGCUUCAUUUUCUUACUUUUCAACUUUUGCUUUCAAUAAUACUGUACGUUUUGUUUUGAUGGUGUUUUUUAUACCAAAAAUAGAAACACUUGCUUGUUUCUGAUAAACACUUGUCAUCAGUAAAAAGAGAGCUAGGGACAGUAGAAGAAUUAGGGGAGCACAGUCUGAAAUGAUGACUGACGGAGCAGAAGUUCGAAUAAUGGGGUAGUGAAUUCAUGAAUAUUUCACAUCCCUCCUAUGGAACUCAAAACGACGGUCUGGGUUUUUAGAUGGAUAAUAAUUAGGAUUAUACUGGACUAUAAUUAGGUUUAUAAAUCCCAUUAACCUGCUGUUUAAGUUAAAGGUGAAUUAAAAAUAUAUUAUCCCAAUUAAUGUGUUAAUUUUUUCAGAUAUUUAUUCCUUAAACCAUUAUUUCUUUGGUUUUGGAUUACUUUUAAUUCUGAAUUCAAGUUUGGGGGCCGUUGUUUUUCUUCUCCCCAUCUAUCUGAAGUUUCUAUUACCGAUGACUGGGAACCGGAUGAGGCCUCACCCAAACUAACGGGGCUGUUAAAUGAACUAAAUUUGGUUUGAGUGGCAAUGAAGACCUGAGCUUACCAGCUCUUGUUUUGAGUGGCGGGUUUUCCAUCUGUUUUGGAAGAUGGUAUUUUCCAGAGGCAAGAGGGGGCAAAAGCAGUGUUUCACAGAAGAGUAACUACAAUGGAAAACAUGUUUCAUCCAGCUUUUGUAUGCAUGGUGUUGGAAAAAAUUAGUAUCUGCCAGUCAUGGGAAGAGGAAUGGCGAUACAUUUCCAAAUCAGUCUGAGUUCUUGAAGAAAUGAGACUCAGAUACAUGGAUGGAUUUUAAAAUGUAAAAAGUGAAAAACUAGAAUGAGCGGGCUUGGAAUUUUGUGAAACAGUCUAAUUUGUGUAUUUUAUAGAAACUGUAGCUUUUCCGUGGAGUAACUGAAGGCCAAAAUUUUAUAAUUUAAACCUUAAGUUGAUUUGCAUUUCUGACAGAUAUUAAAAAAUUGGUGUACUUAGAGUUUAGGGCUGAAAAAUCCUGAGUGGGCAUAUUCAAAACGCCGAGAUAUAGGAGCAUCCACUGACAACACAGUGACUAAACAGAUAACUACUCACCACAAAUUGUGGAGGAAUGCCAUGGGAUUAAACAAAGUCUGCAGUACUCGUUACAGAAUGGCCCCU
ensembl:lncRNA